rfam:Schistosoma mansoni strain Puerto Rico chromosome 4, complete genome
AUCUAUCUGACUCGUCCCAAAUAGGACGAAACACGCGUCCUGGAU